AUGUGGCGUAUAGGUGUAGUCUUCCAGCAGUGUCGUAUGUCCGAAGUCCUUACGAUUGAGGCCAUAAACCAGAGAGGGUGCGAGCCCCGUUCUGGAUAGCGAUGCUGUUGGUUCGAUUGCUCCUUGGAGUCGGGUUGCUUGAAAGUGCAGCCUAAAGUGGGUGAUAAACUUCAUCUAAGGCUAAAUAUCGACUCGAUUGCGAUAGCGAACAAGUACCGUGAGGGAAAGUUGCAAAGGACUUUGAAGAGAGAGUUCAAGAGAACGUGAAAUCGCUGGAGUGGAACCGGAGACAGUUGAUGUCGCUUGGAGACAAGCUUGGUGGCUGGUCGCUUAGUUGUGAUCGUUGCCGGGUGUCGUCUCCUAUGCAACGCCGACGGCGUUGGCUGCUCGUUCUGGCCCGAUAAUGUUGCCCAGCUCGCAAGAGUCGGUGUCUUGUUGUCGGUAGUUGGUUCGUGGCGGCUAGCGUUUAGUUACACUAGUGUGUGUGACGUCGGUGUGAAAGUCAACGACGUUUCCGACCCGUCUUGAAACACGGAUUGCGGAGUGCUUGUCUACUGCGAGUCAAAGGGUGUUAAAACCUUGCGGCGAAAUGAAAGUGAAGGUCGAUCUCGAAUUGACCGACGUGGGAUCUGUGUGUUUUGCAUGGGGAACCAUGCGACGGCCCAAAAAUACCCUAAACCAAAUAAGACGAACACAGUGUUAUAAGACGCCGAUAUUUAUUGCUGU
rnacentral:ncRNA from 1 species